UUCAUUAUGUCAUGUAAUCCUCAUCACAACUUUAUGAGGUAAGUAAUAUCAUUACGCUCAUUUUACAGAUGAGGAAGUUGAGGUUAGAACAACUAAGUACGUCAUCCGAGGUCAAAAAGUUACUCAUUAGAAAAAGUCAGCUUCAGAGCCAGCGUGUUUUAUUCCAGAGUCAUGUUCUUAAUCAUACAUUCGACUUCCGUAUACAGGGCAGGAAAUGAUCAGAGAGGGUUCUAGAUGUGGGGACAGCACUGUAAAUUCCCCCAAGGGUGAAGGACCAUGACAUGUGGAGGAACUGAAGCUCGUCUUCUGUUGAUGGAACUAUGAGCAGUACCAGUACUUGUACUGUAGGAGCAAAGUAGGAAACGUGGCAGAAGACGAGGCUGAAGAUACUGUCAUGGCGAGGGAUCAAGAACCCAGCAGAGUGCUCUUUUUAGAAUACCCAUAUGACCGCUUGACUCUCCUGCUUUGAACCCCUCAAUGAGGACCCCGGCAGGGCUGCAGCGUAAUGAGGAAGACAGAAGCACGCAAGUACACACACAAGUCGUUACAAAAUCGGAUGUAUAGAAUGCUGAGGCGGAGAAUAAAGGAAGAAGAGCCCACCUCUGAUGGCCAUGACAUUUGUCUGUCAUCAAUGUUAGCGAUGUUGGGAGGACCCUCCUGCAGGUUGUGAGCUUCAUGGGCGAUAGCACAUGCACCGUAAUGGCAUGGAGUAAUGGUGACCAUCAACAGAGGUGUCGCAUCAGAGAGAACAUGACCAAAUCAAAAAGUAGCUAGUGAAUGUUUACCAUGGACCGGGUUCAGCAGCUAACUAAAGUGUUUUCUGAUUGCUAUGCUCAAUAAAACUCAUA